UACGUAGGGGGCGAGCGUUACCCGGAAUCACUGGGCGUAAAGGGAGCGUAGGUGGCCUGACAUGUCGACUGUGAAAACCCGGAGCUCAACUCCGGACUUGCAGUUGAAACUGCCAGGCUUGAGGACGGUAGAGGAAGACGGAACUGCCAGUGUAGGGGUAAAAUCCUUAGAUAUUGGCAGGAACGCCGGUGACGAAGGUGGUUUUCUGGGCCGGUUCUGACACUGAUGCUCGAAAGCCAGGGGAGCGAACGGGAUUAGAUACCCCCCGUAGUCCCUGAGCGGGCUGGCAA
rnacentral:rRNA from 1 species